rnacentral:rRNA from 1 species
AGAUUAAGCCAUGCAUGUCUAAGUACACGCCCUCGGACGGCGAAACUGCGAAUGGCUCAUUAGAUCAGUUAUGGUUCCUUAGACGGUACGAUUCCUACUUGGAUAACUGUGGCAAUUCUAGAGCUAAUACAUGUGACCCAGCUCCGACCUCUCCCGCAGGGAAGAGCGCUUUUAUUAGUUUCAAAAAACCCGCACGCGGAUUGGGCUUCCUUGGCGGCGGGGGACAGAGUUCGUCUUGGCCCCCACCACCGCCCUGGUUUCGCUCGCCGCGUUUCCCCAACCGAUGGUGAAUCUGGAUAACUUCGAUCGGAUCGCACGGGCCCUCGACCGGCGACGCGUCUUUCAAAUGUCUCCCUAUCAACUUUCGACGGUACGUCCCUGCCCACCGUGGUCGCAACGGGUGACGGGGAAUCAGGGUUCGGUUCCGGAGAGGGAGCAUGCGAAACGGCUACCACAUCCAAGGAAGGCAGCAGGCGCGCAACUUACCCACUCCUGGCACGGGGAGGUAGUGACGAAAAAUAACAAUACGGGACUCUUUCGAGGCCUCGUGAUUGGAAUGAGUACACUUUAAACCCUUUAAGAGGAUCCAUUGGAGGCAAGUC